UACGUAGGGCGCGAGCGUUGUCCGGAAUUAUUGGGCGUAAAGAGCUCGUAGGUGGUUUGUCGCGUCUGCCGUGAAAGCCCGUGGCUUAACUACGGGUCUGCGGUGGAUACGGGCAGGCUAGAGGCUGGUAGGGGCAAGCGGAAUUCCUGGUGUAGCGGUGAAAUGCGCAGAUAUCAGGAGGAACACCGGUGGCGAAGGCGGCUUGCUGGGCCAGUUCUGACGCUGAGGAGCGAAAGCGUGGGGAGCGAACAGG
rnacentral:rRNA from 1 species